AUUAGCUGUCUACCAAGAAAAUGCCGCCGCAGGCAAUGCCGAUGAUGACAAUGCGAACGGUGCUGAUGCUGAAGAUGAAUCACCCUCUGCAAUGUAGAGGUCGUAUGAUUUCCAAGUGUGGUCGAGCGGGCAAGGCUUGCCGGCGUCGAGCCGGUCCCAUGGCUUGCCCUUCCCGGACCAGUGCAUGAGGCUGACAGGGCCCUUGUGGAGAGGGCGGCAGCUGCCGAGGACGUUGUCGCCGCCCAAUCCGUGCUGGUUCCAGCGGUGGUCGACGGCCUCCACCUCGCCGGCGAACACCAGCAAGAACGGGGGCAGCGACCCUAGCUCGUAGAUUCGCUUCUCCUUCUGCAGCUCCAUCCACACCUCGAUGCGGCGACGGUAGUUGCCGACGCGCCACCGCCGGAGGUCGAUGACCAUGACGCCGGUGUUGAAGUAGCAGGGCGCGCGGCGUCGCCCGGCGAAGACGCGGUCGCCGAGCUGCGGGUCGGACCAGAAGGUCUCGGUGAAGUAGCGGGAGAAGUUGGCGUGGCAGUACUCGGGCGCGGCCACGACGGCGGCGGCGGGCAGGCGCGUCUCCCAGAGGCGCCUCACGUCGUCGACGGCGAGCACGUCGGAGUCGAGGUAUAUCGCCCGCGGGACGCACUUGGGGAGCAGGUCGGCGAGGUAGUUCCUGGCGUAGUUGAGCGGCGCCUCGAGAGCGGCGCGCACGGACGCCGAGAUGAGCCCGGUGACCGCGUCAGCGCGGAACGGGUAGAUCUCGAACCGAAGCGACGGGAACGACGCCGCCACGGCGGUCCUCAGCUCCCCGACCCCACCCCCGCACCCCUCGCCGCCGUCCGCCGCCGCCAGGAAGUGGAAGAAUAUCGACUCCGGGCACGACGCGUGCUUGAGCAGCGAGUAGAUGGCCGCCAUGGACCCCCUCAGGUAGUGCGCGUCGAGCGUCAUCGCGAUGUGGACCAGCCCCGGGUCGCACACCCCCGCCCCCGCCACCGCCGCC
rnacentral:lncRNA from 1 species